rnacentral:rRNA from 1 species
GAAGCGUAUAUUUAAGUUGUUGCAGUUAAAAAGCUCGUAGUUGGAUUUCGGGUGGGUUCUAGCGGUCCGCCUAUGGUGAGUACUGCUAUGGCCUUCCUUUCUGUCGGGGACGGGCUUCUGGGCUUCACUGUCCGGGACUCGGAGUCGACGUGGUUACUUUGAGUAAAUUAGAGUGUUCAAAGCAGGCUUACGCCCUGAAUACUUUAGCAUGGAAUAACACGAUAGGACUCUGGCCUAUCUUGUUGGUCUGUAGGACUGGAGUAAUGAUUAAGAGGGACAGUCGGGGGCAUUCGUAUUUCAUUGUCAGAGGUGAAAUUCUUGGAUUUAUGAAAGACGAACUACUG